rnacentral:rRNA from 1 species
UACGUAGGGUGCGAGCGUUAAUCGGAAUUACUGGGCGUAAAGUGUGCGCAGGCGGCCGAGCAAGUCGAGUGUGAAAGCCCCGAGCUUAACUUGGGAACUGCGCUCGAAACUACUUGGCUAGAGUGUGGCAGAGGGAGGUGGAAUUCCACGUGUAGCGGUGAAAUGCGUAGAGAUGUGGAGGAACACCGAUGGCGAAGGCAGCCUCCUGGGCCAACACUGACGCUGAGACGCGAAAGCGUGGGGAGCAAACAGG